UACGUAGGGUGCAAGCGUUGUCCGGAAUUAUUGGGCGUAAAGAGCUCGUAGGCGGUCUGUCGCGUCUGCUGUGAAAACCUAGGGCUUAACUCUGGGCGUGCAGUGGGUACGGGCAGGCUAGAGUGCGGUAGGGGAGACUGGAAUUCCUGGUGUAGCGGUGGAAUGCGCAGAUAUCAGGAGGAACACCGAUGGCGAAGGCAGGUCUCUGGGCCACUACUGACGCUGAGAAGCGAAAGCAUGGGGAGCGAACAGG
rnacentral:rRNA from 1 species